rnacentral:rRNA from 1 species
CUGGCUCAGGAUGAACGCUGGCGGCGUGCUUAACACAUGCAAGUCGAACGAAGCAUAUAAGACAGAUUACUUCGGUUUGAAGUCUUUUAUGACUGAGUGGCGGACGGGUGAGUAACGCGUGGGUAACCUGCCUCAUACAGGGGGAUAGCAGCUGGAAACGGCUGGUAAUACCGCAUAAGCGCACAGUACCACAUGGUACAGUGUGAAAAACUCCGGUGGUAUGAGAUGGACCCGCGUCUGAUUAGCUAGUUGGUGAGGUAACGGCCCACCAAGGCGACGAUCAGUAGCCGACCUGAGAGGGUGACCGGCCACAUUGGGACUGAGACACGGCCCAGACUCCUACGGGAGGCAGCAGUGGGGAAUAUUGCACAAUGGAGGAAACUCUGAUGCAGCGACGCCGCGUGAGUGAAGAAGUAUUUCGGUAUGUAAAGCUCUAUCAGCAGGGAAGAUAAUGACGGUACCUGACUAAGAAGCUCCGGCUAAAUACGUGCCAGCAGCCGCGGUAAUACGUAUGGAGCAAGCGUUAUCCGGAUUUACUGGGUGUAAAGGGAGUGUAGGUGGCCAGGCAAGUCAGAAGUGAAAGCCCGGGGCUCAACCCCGGGACUGCUUUUGAAACUGCAGGGCUAGAGUGCAGGAGGGGCAAGUGGAAUUCCUAGUGUAGCGGUGAAAUGCGUAGAUAUUAGGAGGAACACCAGUGGCGAAGGCGGCUUACUGGACGAUAACUGACGCUGAGGCUCGAAAGCGUGGGGAGCAAACAGGAUUAGAUACCCUGGUAGUCCACGCCGUAAACGAUGA